ensembl:snRNA U2 U2 spliceosomal RNA
AUCGCUUCUCGGCCUUUUGGCUAAGAUCAAGUGUAGGAGGGCUUGACUGGGAUGGAGAAUCUUCCUGGGAUGAUGGUUAUAUUCUAGAGCUUGAUAAGGUUCAGAUUACACAGGUAUAUACAUUUAUCAAAACUCAGUGAGUGUGCACUUAAGAUUUUUACAUUUUAUUGUAUGUCAA